rnacentral:ncRNA from 1 species
AGACGAUGCUUAUGCAGCUCCUCUGCCCGAACGAACCUUGGAUAUCAACUGGUUUUAUAAUCCUUAUCCAUCACUCACG